rnacentral:rRNA from 1 species
ACUCCUACGGGAGGCAGCAGUGGGGAAUAUUGCACAAUGGGCGCAAGCCUGAUGCAGCCAUGCCGCGUGAGUGAUGAAGGCCCUAGGGUUGUAAAACUCUUUCAUCGGUGAAGAUAAUGACGGUAGCCGAAGAAGAAGUCCCGGCUAACUCCGUGCCAGCAGCCGCGGUAAUACGGAGGGUGCGAGCGUUAUCCGGAAUCACUGGGCGUAAAGGGCGCGUAGGCGGUUACAUAAGUCCGAUGUUAAAGCGUAGGGCUCAACCCUAUAAAGGCGUUGGAUACUGUGAAACUAGACUUCUGGAGAGGUAAGUGGAAUUACCAGAGUAGCGGUGAAAUGCGUAGAUACUGGUAGGAACACCCAUAGCGAAGGCAGCUUACUGGACAGAGAGUGACGCUGAGGCGCGAAAGUGUGGGGAGCAAACCGGAUUAGAUACCCUGGUAGGUC